UACGUAGGGGCCAAGCGUUGUCCGGAUUUAUUGGGCGUAAAGAGCUCGUAGGCGGUUCGGCAAGUCGAAUGUGAAAUCUCCACGCUCAACGUGGAGGGGUCAUUCGAUACUGCUGUGACUCGAGUCCGGUAGGGGAGUGUGGAAUUCCCGGUGUAGCGGUGAAAUGCGCAGAGAUCGGGAGGAACACCCGUAGCGAAGGCGGCACUCUGGGCCGGUACUGACGCUGAGGAGCGAAAGCGUGGGGAGCAAACAGG
rnacentral:rRNA from 1 species